GAGCUCAUAGCCAAAAGACACACAUCCUAGCUCUUCUACAACAUUCCAAAUGAUCAUAGCAAACAAUCAUUGGUCAUUCUUUUAUCAGUCUAGCUUCUCAAUGCCUAUCAACCUCUUUUUAUUUCUUUAUACAAAGUGCAAUGCUCAUCAAUCAACAAGUAACUUCAACCAAUUCUCACAUUCAUUCACACACACACACAAGGUGGAUUCUCACAAAUGGGCACAUGAUCUCAAUCACUUGGCUUGGUAGAUUAAUGGUCUUUUUUGAAUAAAAAGAAAGGUUCAAAUACAAUCUUUUUAAUGGUGGCAAUCACUCAAGAACAAGGAGCAUGAUCAUUAUGCAAAAUUUAUCUAAGACUAGGAGCAAUUCAUGCAUACAUAGCUCAUUCUCAUCAUUCUACUCUUCUUCCUAAGUGAUUACAAAUUCUACCCAUCUUUUAUAUUUCAAAACCCAAGUAUAUACACUUCACUCACAUUUCUCACCAAGUGAACUCUCUCUUUUUUUUUUUUUUUUUUUUUUUUUUUUACUUUGGGGAAUUCUAAUUGACACACUUAAGAGUUUUUCUUCUUUUAUUUUCUUGGUUCCUAUUGGUUUUCUUUUCUUAUUGACACUCUUUGAUCUUUUUCUCUUCUCUCAAACCCAAGAUAUAACAACUUAAAAACACACAAACUCACUCACCAUCCUAGAUGCUAGUUCAAAUGAGGAUCUUAUGCUAGCAAUAGAUGAGAACAAACAUAUGUCGCUCCCAAUACUCUCAAGAUUUUGCAUAUGACAAGCUAUCAAUAAGAGACCUCACUCAACAAAUCAAUAUUGGUUUCAAAGAAUGGCAAGGGUUUAAGGGUAGGGGAGUGCCAUUUGGGUUAAUCAAAGGAUAAUAAAUGGAAUAAGAUAACCCAAAUGUGUAUGAAAUCCAUGAUCAAGUAUGCAAGUGCCCAUAUGCAAGAGAGAUUAAAUUCAUUAUGCCCAAGUUCAGUUUGUAAUUGGUUUCAAGAACAAUGUCAAUAUCAUAUGAGCAACAUGUUUCAAAAAGAGUUUUCAAGGCUCGAGAGAUGCUUGUAGAUAUGUUCUUUUCAUGGCAAUUUCAAUCAUGGCUCCCUAUGCAUAAUUCAAAACUCACAUUUUUUUUUUUUUUUUUUUUUUUUUUUAAAAUCAAAAAAAAACCAAAAAUCAAAAUCAUUAAAAAUCCAAAAUGCAAAUCAUUAAAAUCCACACAGAUGCAAAGUGCUAGAUAUGUCAAAUGCAAAUCAUCCAAAUAAAAACAAGCAAAAUGAUCAGUUUUUAUAGUACCCCCACCACACUCGAAUCACACAGUCUCUUGUGUGACUUUGAAUUUGGAGUGGUUUACAUGAUAAGUAAAAUAAAAAUUACUAGAGAUGUGGAGAGAAUUUAAACCGGAUUAGAGUACUUACCUUGUGACUGUAGCGACUUGAGCAUGUCACUAUGGAUAUGUCGCUAUGAGCAUGUCUCCACAGCACUUGUGUUUCUUUCCUAGCCUCUUUUGAAUCUUUUCCUUUUCCUGAGCACCUUCCAAACUGAAAUCACACACAAUUCACACAAACAAACACACAAACAAGGAUAGUUCACACAAUUUAUUAAAAACAUUCACACAUAUAUACAAAGGAUACUCUUGAGAUUUCCUCCCAAGUGAGCUUGUUUUAAGUCUCUAGCUUGACUUUGUGUGCUUGCUAAUCAUAAGUAUCAAAAGGCUGAGCCAAUGCACCUUUGGUCCUUCUCCUCCAAGAACAAGGAACCAAGUAUGCAAAGGAGCACACUACUGUCCAUAGAAAAUAGACAAAUUUUUCCUCAAAGAGCUUCACUAAAGAUAUGACAUGAGUUAUGAAAUGCUCCUUGAGGUUAAGAUGAUCAUGAGAAUAGACAAAUUUUUCCUCAAAGAGCUUCACUAAAGAUAUGACAUGAGUUAUGAAAUGCUCCUUGAGGUUCAGAUGAUCAUGAGAAUCAAAAGCAUUAGGUGGAAACACAAAAUCAACUACAUGUUCAAAUGAGGUUUUAACAAAGUAGUCAACUCUAUCUCCAUCAAUCAAAUAAUACACAAUGUUCACAUUCUCAUGAUAGUUUUCAGCAUGGGGGUUUUCUAUCUCAAGCAAGAGCUUAUCCACAUCAAGUUCAUCCCCAAAAUCAGGAAGUUCAAGAAGAGGUCUAGGUUCAUCAAGAAUGAAAAACUCAGAUUCAAGAUCAAAUGAAGCACAUAGAUAGCUCUUGUCAAAACAAACUUCAAUAUGAUCUCUAACAAGCUUUUCUAUUCUCAACUCAUCUAGUUUCUUAGUUUCACAUAUCAGAUCAAGACAUUCAUUCAUGAGCACAAGAGAAUUAAGACCAGAGAUAUUAUUCUCACCACAAGGCAAGCAUAUUUCCUCGAGUUGAAGUUUUAAAGUGGAAAUUUCUAUACCUUCCAGUUGGAGUGGUGGAGCCCAAUACAUUACCUCAUUAAGGGCACAAGCAGCAUCUAACUCAUACUGGGUAACCUCCCUUUCUUCAAACUCUGCUCGGUCCCUAAUGAGGUGUAUCCGGAUAAGUUGUGCUAGGUUUCUCUUUGUCUUGUCCCGAUUCUCUUUCAUUCUCUGAAGCCGAUGCAACUCAUCCCUUUGGUCUGGUGUGAGUAUGCGUAUAUCAAAGGGUGGUGGCUCCACAAACACAUAGGGCUCAUCUUCAAUGUGAUCUUCAAAUGUGUCAUCCUCUUCUUGUGGCUUCUCAAAGUAGCUUGAAGCCAUCACUACAAAAGAGAAAAUCUAGAAUAAAAGAUUAGUAGCUAUACAAAAGCAAAACAAAACAUAAGAAAAUAAAGCUUAGUCUCAAGAAAGAUUGAAAUCCUAAUGAUAAAUCCACUAGUUCCCCGGCAACGGCGCCAAAUUGAUUACGCGUUUAAGCACACACCAAUUAACCUAAUGUGCCAACAAUACCACAAUCGAAUGGUAUGUCAUUGUAGCAUUUUAGGAUCGAAUCCACAGAGAACUAGAGACUUAUAACACCAAGAAUACACAAACCUUCCUAAUCUAAGCAAACAAGAAGAUAGAUGAUUUGUAACAAACUAAUAUCCUAGAAAUAUAAACAAGUGAAUCCAUGGGCUAAGGGAAUUGAUUUCAAGUAACUAAGAUCCAAUCUAGGUGACAAGCUUUCAAUCAAAGUAAUCUCUUAAGUCUAAACACAAUUCUAGACAAGUCCUAUGUCUAGGUAAAUGCCCAUUUGCUUAGAAAUCAUUAAACAUCAAAUGUCUUUGGCUUAAUUCAAUCAAGCAAUCUUUAAGUUCAAGUUCAAUAACUAUCUAGCAAUUUUAACAUCAAGUGUCCUUGGCUAAUCUCACUAGAGCUUAGUUGAGUUGAUUCAAACACUUCAUCUAAUCAUGUCUGAUGAGAAGUGUUUAGAAAUCAGGUUUAGAGUGAUCAAGACUAAACAAGCAUUAAGAAUACUCAACAAGCAAGUUCAUACAAGGAUCUAAUACAAUAACACCAUAGAUCUUCACUAAGUUACUCUAAUCUCCCUAACCCAUGAAUUCUUAAGGAAACUACUCACUAAUCUCCAUGAAAACACUUAAUCUCAUAAUAGAUUGAAGCAUAUUCAAGUAGAUACAACAGAGAAUAAAGAUAAACAAGGAUUUAAACAAGCAAAACGAAAUUAAAACUCAAGAACAGAUGAUGAACAAUGAAGAACACUCAAGAACACCAAGAACAAUGGUAUUUCAAAGAGAGAGAGUUUUUACAAGUUAAAUUAUUACAAAGUUGGAUAAUAUGUUUCUUGCCCACUCUUUUGAUAAUAAGAAAGCAAAUAUUAUACAGAAAAGUAGGAAAAAUCGUGCAAAGGAAAGGUGGGUGGAAGAUAGUGGGAAGUUGGUUGAUCCCAUCAACUUUCAAGUGGUCCCCGGCAAGGAUUGAUACACCUAUAGUAAAUCGAUCAUAACUUGUCCAAUACAGCUUCAAAUGACUUGAAACCACUUCCAUUGGAAAGCUAACUCAAUUUCCAGUGUCUCCACAAAUUUUGAGCUUCAGAAGAGAUUUUUAAGGCUUUCAUCCGUGUUCAUCUUUCACUCUCCGGAUUCGGGAGCGACCUCGCUGUGUCGCUGUGAGAGGUCGCUCCGGAUUCGUUGUCUCCGGGUGAUCAAUACGCGAGCGACUCUUCCAUGUCGCUCUAGUAAGGUCGCUCCAGUAGGGUGAUCAGAGCGACUUGGUGGUGUCGCUCCGGACUGGUCGCUCCCAUGCCUUGCUCGCCCAAUGACCACUCUAAACACUCCUUUUUGAGCUCCAAAUGCCUCUGAAAAUCCCACCAAUGGUCCUCUAACUCAUCCAUGGUGCUCUCCAACACCUGAUAUGUACAAAUGCAAUGAUAUGCAACCUAAAUGUGCCUAAAUGAUGCUCUAAAUGACCAAUGCAAUGAUAUGCAACCUAAAUGUUCCUAAAUGAUGCUCUAAAUGACCAAACCAUGCAAGAAUAAGAAGUUAAAAACAUGUAAAUUCACAAGAUAUCAACUCCCCCACACUAGUCCUUUACUUGUCCUCAAGUAAACUUUCAAGUCCUAAGAAGGAAGAAGUUUGAAAAAGGGAGCUCAUAGCCAAAAGACACACAUCCUAGCUCUUCUACAACAUUCCAAAUGAUCAUAGCAAACAAUCAUUGGUCAUUCUUUUAUCAGUCUAGCUUCUCAAUGCCUAUCAACCUCUUUUUAUUUCUUUAUACAAAGUGCAAUGCUCAUCAAUCAACAAGUAACUUCAACCAAUUCUCACAUUCAUUCACACACACACACAAGGUGGAUUCUCACAAAUGGGCACAUGAUCUCAAUCACUUGGCUUGGUAGAUUAAUGGUCUUUUAUGAAUAAAAAGAAAGGUUCAAAUACAAUCUUUUUAAUGGUGGCAAUCACUCAAGAACAAGGAGCAUGAUCAUUAUGCAAAAUUUAUCUAAGACUAGGAGCAAUUCAUGCAUACAUAGCUCAUUCUCAUCAUUCUACUCUUCUUCCUAAGUGAUUACAAAUUCUAC
rnacentral:lncRNA from 1 species